AGGUGCCAUUCUGAGGGCCAAGAGUUUGAUUAUGUGUCACUCUGGCUGCUAUGGCCCCCUC
rnacentral:pre_miRNA from 1 species